GCUCUCGUGAAGGCGACUGAUAGCGGUUUUGUAAACCGAAGGUCGGCGGUUCGAUUCCGUCCGGGGGCA
rnacentral:tRNA from 1 species